UUUUUGAAAGCUACUGCUGAGGUGAACUUCAGGAACAACUUUAAACAGCUGUCAAAGCUAAUGACUGCACCCUGCACCUGAAAACCUCAUCCAGGAAAAAGGAGUCUGCAAUAUAGACCAUCUUAACACUUGCUAGAAAAACAGAACCCUAAGAAUAGAAAUUCUGAUCGAUUUUUUUCUGUAUUUCUUCCCAGCCUGUCUUCUAUCUGUGCUAUGUAAUGAACAUGGAUAUUCUUGCAAGUUAGUUGAUUAUGUUAUUGCAGAGCAAGUUGAUAGUACACCAGCAACAAGCAGAAAAGCUGGUUCUUCUUGGUUACAAAUGCAAACAAAAGCAAAACAGCCAUUGAAAAACACCUCCUUUGUACUUAAAAACUGCACUAUUAAAAUUUUCAAGCAUUCUGUAGCUCACAGCAGAGGUCAGCUAGUAAUGUAAAUGAAGGUUGGUCAUUGUUUAUUUCUAAGCCAAAGCUGUAUAUGCCCUCUAAACCUUUUGGAAGAACUGACCUUAGACUGACAAACAAAUGUUUUAAGCCAAAGCAGCAUUUGUCACCCUAAUAUAGCAUUAAGAUUGUGGUGACAUGGACACUGGAUUGCUACCCACCUAAGAAAAGCUAAAACUGAAGAUCUCUUUCAUAAUCAGUUUUUAGCUGAGUUGAGUAAAAUGCUACCGUUCUAUUUCCUCGCCCCCGUUUGCAGAACCCAGAGGCUCACUGCUGAGCUGGUGGCCUGGCAGAUGCCACAUGCAGUGGGAUCAGGAGGAGCAUCACGAGUGCAGCUGUUUGGAAUGAGGGACAACCAACUGCCUGCCCUUCAGAUAAUACAUGCGUAUGUCUGUGUGCAGGAGAAAGACAGGCAGGAACAUGGGUGGACAGGACAUGCUCACUGUCAGUUCUGUCCUUGCACACUACUCUGUGCUAGUAAUUUUGAUUUGUUACAAUCUUGCUUUGUGCAGGCACUUGGCAAAAAGGGUUCCAGACCAUAACUUUAGUUUUAUUAAAUUAAAUACUUAACAGGUAAUUAACCAUUUUAAAGUAGAAAGAUGUGGGUUGCAGAAGCAGGUGAAUGCAAGAAGCAACUAGAUUAAAACAAUCCGUUUUUAAAAUCAUCGUACGUUGACCGCAUUUGUUGCGCAGUGGCUCAGAGAUCACCUCCGUACCCAUCCAGUGUGUGGCUUGAAGGUGCUCUGGGCACAGACACAUGCAGGUCUGGAGCUGGAUGUGGAUUGCUCCAUAGAUCAGCUAGGUCAAGGCAGUGUCUGUGCUGCACACAGGCACUGGAGGGGUGCCCUAUCACCACGGCUGCUGCUGUGAGGCCCUGGGCCUGCGGUCAUGACUGCUGAACAGCUCUCGUAUUGAAAUCAGCUACCUACCUGUACACUAACAAUGAUUUCUUUAUACCUACAAAUAACUAAUGGCAGACUGUAAGGGACUGACCAGGCAUGAACAAGAAUCUCUGGCUCCAUAUUAUACGGUGAAAUGAUGGAAAGCAAUGCUGUCAUUGCAUGAUAUUAAAAUAUCAAGAAGUAAGAAAAGGAGUCUAAAAUUCACCAAGUAUUUAAUUAGAACUACUACUCAGCUGAAUUAUCCCCAAUGCUCCUAUUGCACAGUUACACAUCAUUUCUUUGUUUUUUAAGAUACCAGAACUACUUCUGAACACAAAUUGAAAAGGUAAGUAAGUGAUGCAACACCACAAGUAAUACAACCACCUGUCUUUGAGAAAGGAAUGUCAUUUGUGGCAAGGUCUGUUUUAUUUCUCCUGACUGAGCUGGAAAAGAGUCCAUACUACAAGCAGGUAAGGUUGGGGAAAAAAAAAAAAA
ensembl:lncRNA